rnacentral:rRNA from 1 species
CUUUCAACAACGGAUCUCUUGGUUCCAGCAUCGAUGAAGAACGCAGCGAAAUGCGAUAAGUAAUGUGAAUUGCAGAAUUCAGUGAAUCAUCGAAUCUUUGAACGCACAUUGCGCCCCUCGGUAUUCCGGGGGGCAUGCCUGUUCGAGCGUCAUUACACCCCUCAAGCGUAGCUUGGUACU